UACGUAGGACCCAAGCGUUUAUCCGGAAUUACUGGGCGUAAAGCGUGCGUAGGCGGACGUUUUAAGUGCAAUGUGAAAUCUAACGGCUCAACCGUUUAGACUAUGUUGCAUACUGGAUGUCUUGAGGACAUGAGAGGCUAGUGGAAUUACUGGUGUAGCGGUAAUAUGCAUAGAUAUCUGGAGGAACACCGGUGGCGAAGGCGGCAUCCUGGACCAAUAUUGACGCUGAGGAGCGAAAGCUAGGGGAGCAAACGGG
rnacentral:rRNA from 1 species